CAACCUCAACUCAUAUGGGACUACCCCCUGAAUUUAAGCAUAUUAAUUAGGGGAGGAAAAGAAACUAACUAGGAUUUUCUUAGUAGCGGCGAGCGAAAAGAAAUCA
rnacentral:ncRNA from 1 species